UGUAUCGAUUUCUCUCGUCUCAUAUUUCUAUUUUAUUCCAUCACAGCUGGUGUACAUCACGCAUCAUGUACAACGACAAUAAAGGCUGAUUCUAUUCCGCUCUAUUCUAAUCUGACAGACACGCCUAAUCCCAAAAACAAGAUGAGACCCUCCGAACACAGCUGUCCCUGAAACACGGCACGUGUGCAGAUCGUGCCGUGUCUCUCGGCCUUUAGCGGGGCCUCGCUGCGGAGCGUUUUCUCUCUGUGCAGCAGGUCGCCCACAUGUUUGUGAUUUUCUCUUUAUUCGUAUUUUUGGUAAAUGUACGUGACCUUCAGAGCCACCGUACCGCAGUGACAGCCUUCAGAGUAUAAUCCCAGUGUCCAGAUUACAGGCCGGCAUCUUUGCUCUGAAUGUUUCUCUGCGAUUCAUUUUCUGACAGCGGGAGAGUCUUUGUCACGUCAGCGUGCCAUCGGGCAGAUGAAUGAGGCUAAACGUUUUCUUUAUCUGCCCCCCGACACGCUCGGCAUGAUGGGAGGCGAUACGGUGCGGAGGAAGCAGCAGCUCAUCUUUUGAGUUUGAUCCUGAUCCCGCAGCGACAAACAGGCCGAGUGAGAAUCCUAAGCUCUCCUCACAAUGAGCCGGAUUCAGGGAGAAAUCCGAACAGGGUUCACGUUCAGGAGGCCAAGGCUGAAGACGGCACAUCACGACCUCCCCCGCAGACGUCUGCAGAGCUGUGUGCACAAGCACAAAUUACAGCUUUGAUCUGAAAAACUGUUGGAGGCGUGAGAACAGGGGAGAGGUGAAGCAGCUGCACCUGAGCGAACACCUGAGCAGAACUGUCCGGCGUUUCUGGCGCAGACGGCCAGGCUGACACUUCCCGCUCUGCCUGCAGGGAUGUUUUUUAAAGCUGAAGGUUUGAGUCUUGGAUUCAAACAUGCUGCGUUGUGCUCUGUGCACGCUGACCGUACCUGCUCAUCGCCAAACCCAAAUCAGACGCUUCCUGGUCCACAAACGCGCCGAUGUCCCAUUGGUCCGGCUUUUAAGCCGGGCUGAUGGAGAUGUCCAGACUCAAACCCAGCUCCUCUUCCUGCUGUAAUGUUUAAGAAAGGAGUUCUGCUGCAUCGAUCUCCGGCCCGAUUCUUCACAUUUGGACAGAAAACAAAUAAACACGGUGGAACAUCGAUCCACAGCAGGAGAAACAAAACCGGCGUCACUCAAUAAUCCAUUAAACAGGAAACAGGAAGUAUCGAUCAGUUUAAUCAAAGCUGAGCUGCGAAGGCUGGCGGGACCCUCAGAGGAGCCUGGGCUGCGUUCAUAAACCUCCGCUCUGUUUGUGCUGUAAAGUACAGAGUAACAGCUGGACAGAAAACAUCUGCAGCAUCACGCGCUCUGACGCUCAGUUCUUCAACGUGUGACGAGAGGAAGAAACCUGUGCAGGAUCUCUGAGUGCGGCGAGGGGAGGCCAGUGCAGUUCAAACAGCCCACAGGCUGUGUUCACGUCAAUGCUCACUGUCACCAAACUGCUGCUGGACGGUUGCAGGAAGCCGGUCUGACGAUGGUUUUAGUGCUUAAAAGCUCACCAGCUGAGGUGAACUUAGCCAGCUCUGAGGGGACGGCUGACCUCUGCAUAUAUCUGAUUCAUUGUCCAAUAAAAGUCUUGAAGCUCAGGAGAAGCUUCUGUUGGUCACAGUGGGUGUAACAGCCGCCACCGAUGAAGAAGAACCUGUGAACGUGAAGUCGUCACCAUCAGGGAGAAGAAAACUAAUUUAGGGCGAAGCUUUAAUACACGUUCAGAGAGGAUUCAUUAUAAAACUAAUAAUAACACAGCACCAUCACCGUGCACGUACAGCCAGAAAAGACACAGGUGAAAAGUCCACCUGUGCUCUCUGCUCAGAGCCCACUCAGUGUGGUACCUGUGUGCUCACACCUUUGGAGCCAUGAUGGUGUUUGUCUUACAGGCGUUCAUAAAAUCACUGAUGGUUCUUAUAAUGUUCAGUUGAGUGUCUAAAACAGAGCCGAGCUCGUCAGAGGGAAGCCUGAGCUUUUCACGAGCAGAAAUCAAUAAACAAAUCUGAUAUUUGGCAUCAUCAUAAAGGAAGACGCUCCCAUUGCUCCCUGAGCCUAUUUCUGCUGGAGGUUUCUUCCUGUUAAAAGUGGACACCUGAGAAGAUCGUGAUCACCACAGUUAUCAGACACAAGAGUGAUGAUUGAAAACUGGAAACUGGCAGAAAACUGUGGUGCUGAUCCGUUGAAGUGUGUGAUGGAGGUGAUGUGGAGCUCCGUCCUCCUCUGACCCUCUGCAGUGAAACCAACCCACCCAGACUGACAACCACUGAAACUUUAACCUGCACGAGCCGACUGAAGCGUCUGCUUCCUGCUUCAGACUUUGUGAAAUCUCAUUAGAGACGAUGUUAGACGAUGUUGGGGGAAGCAGAGGAGGAGGCUGCCUGCAGUCUGUUUGCUCAGAGUGCCCCCUGCUGGGCAUCACCUUUCUGUGACAGAGAGACAGAGCGGCAUCAUCAUGUUCAGUGUGACAUCGUUCCUAAAAGCAUUCAGUGAAGCUGUGACGUCUCAGCAGCUCAUCAACGCGUACAGAC